rnacentral:rRNA from 1 species
UACGUAGGGUGCGAGCGUUAAUCGGAAUUACUGGGCGUAAAGCGUGCGCAGGCGGUUCGUUGUGUCCGUCGUGAAAGCCCCGGGCUUAACCUGGGAACUGCGAUGGAAACUAGCGAGCUGGAGUGUGGCAGAGGGGGGUGGAAUUCCGCGUGUAGCAGUGAAAUGCGCAGAUAUCAGGAGGAACACCAAUGGCGAAGGCAGCUCGCUGGAACGGUACUGACGCUGAGGCGCGACAGCGUGGGGAGCAAACAGG